rnacentral:lncRNA from 1 species
CCUCACCUCCCAGCCCCUCCAGCUCCCCCUGAUACACCAGCCCUGCGCGCGGCUGCUCCCGAGCUUUGGGACCCUCAGCCCAAGCGCCGGCUCACCAUCACCGCGCACCUCCUUGCCUCUCCUCCGUGCCCUGCUGCUGCCACUUGCCCAGCUCGCUGUCACGGGAAGCCUCCUGCGCCGAGCCCCGUGCAGCCGGGUCCCUCUGGGGAAGGAGGUGGCGCGUGUCCUGCCAGGUCGGGAGGAGCGCUGCUCUGACCCGCGGUGCCAGCGGAGCGCCCGUGCCGGGAGAGGGAGGGAGGGGACAGCCCGUGCUGCCACAGCCACCCGUGGCACUGCCAGGCUGAGCACUCGUGAGCCAGACAGGCACAGCUCCGGGCACUGCGUUCCCAGGACACUCGCUUUUUGUUUUUCUGGGAGCGAUUCCUGCUCGUCAGCCACCACGUGCCCGGCGUGUGUGCAAGGGGACAGCGCUGGGCACGAGGGUGGUGGCCUGCACCACCCUGAAGAGUGGCGGGAGGGGAAAUGCUGCUCUGUGCCCUGCUGGCUUCAUGCUCUCAUGCACCCAUGGGUGUUCAAUCCACCACUCGAGGCCACAUCCAGCUCGGGCAGCUACACCUGUCAGAGCCCCCUUCCUUGCAAUCCCAGAGCAGGACACCCUCUUUCCCUUGGCUGGGGGGAGACUGGAAGCCAUCGCCUCCCAGGGAUGCUCUCUCAGCACCCGUGCCCACCUCAGCACCCUGGGAAGGCGCAAUCCGUCCCCGGCCUGCCGGGAGGGUGCCGCUGGGUGCUGCGGGGAGGAUGCGCGCCCGGCUCCCCGCUGACGUAAGUGCUGGGAGUCAGCCGGGAGCUGCCAGCGGGGAAUUGGCCCGCAGCACUGGGAGCACUUGGGGAGCCGUGCAGAGAGGAGGUAAUUGUUAAAUGUGGGCUGAGAUAGGCUGAGCGGGGAGGGCAGGAGGCCAGGGAGGUGGCAGACACCUCACCAGGGCUGGCUUGGUUUACACAAGCUGGGCUUUGUUCAUUAUCUCCUCGGGCUUUCGUGGCUGUGAGUUAACACCCCGUG